CCUGUGGGAGGGAAGACCAAUGCUUACACCUUCUGAAGAUGCUGCUGCCCAAGGAGACUCGACCUUGCCCACCUCUAGCCCAGGCCUCAGCCCACAGACUUUUGGGGCUUUCUUUCUCUACAAAAGAGCUGAUGAAGACCAAGCCUUAGAGGAAAGUCAGAACCGUUGCUAGUAGCUAUCAUUUUCUUUUUCUACUUGGAGCAUGAUCUCUGGAUCAUGUCACUGUCCUCUGGGAGUUGUUCAUACAUGUACAUCUCCCGAUCCUCCCACAUAUCCCCCUCUGUCCUACAUCUUUGUGUGCCUCGUGUUAGGAUGCACACCCACACACCUAUGUGUCUUUUGGCAGCUCUUUCUGCAAGCCCUAACUGUUCUUUUCACACUUGUAUGUUCAUAAAGGCCCUUCUAGGCCCUCUAGGGGGCAAGGAUGAUGUGGGUGGUAGAACCAGUUCCCCCACCUCUUCUCCUUGGAUAGGCUGCAGACUCUCCCUUUCCCCUUCCUGUGUAACUCCCUCCUAGCUCUACUGAUUCCUUUGGCCCUUUUACCAAGAUGAGUCUCACAUGGAAGAGCAUGUGUGUGUGUGUGUGUGUGUGUGUUAGGAUUUGUACUUGAAUGCAGAAUCCCCUUAAGCAUCAAGCAGUCAUUUCUUUGAUUUGUCUCUUCCCUGGUUUGUAUGCUUUGGAUGUAAACUAACCCUCACGUUUGGCUACCAGUUGCUGGUACUGUUUUGGGAAGUUUGGUAACCUUUAGGAAGUGAGUCCUAGCUGGAAGGAGAUGGCUUGGAAUGUGUUACGGUGGGAAGGGUUAGCGUUGAUAACUCAGCCUCCUGCUCAAGCUCUGUUCCUGUUCUGAUGCCAAGAUUUAACAAGCCUCGCCCCCAAGCCCCGCCUCUAGUUUCUGCUCCCUCACCACAGGCCCCGCCUCCAGGCUCUGCUCCCUCACCACAAGCCCCGCCUCCAGGCUCUGCUCCCUCACCACAGGCCCCGCCUCCAGGCUCUGCUCCAGAGUGAAAUCCUAGUCCCUGAGAGCAGGAGUCCGAACAAAUCCUUUUUCUAUUUUAAGUUGCAUUUGCCAGGUAUUCUGUCAUAGUAACGAAAAAGUAAGCUGACUAACUAGGGAAACCAUUUCAUUGCAGCUAGCUCUAAGCAGCAACAGUUAUUAUUCCAGAAUUUGAGUAUUGAUUGGGUGAGUGCAAGGGCUAGCAGCCUGGGCAUGUUCUAGGAACUCAUAGGAGAUAAAGCCCACACUACAUAAAUGUAUAACAACCACACAGUGGCUUCUCUUUUCUCAGUACCCAACAGAGCCAUUAGAGAACACAUAUCUUGUGCUAGGUGAUUUGCAGUUACAUUAAGGUUUGGCAGAGAAUGACAAAGCUAAGGAAGCAGAGACUGUUGUGUUUGCUGGAUUCCACAUGUCUUGCUAUUACGGUGGUCCAAUAAUAUGCUUCUCAGCACAACAGGCCAAGCUCGGGGUGGAGUGGGGUAGGGAGGCCUACUAAGGCAAACACUCUGCCUGAUUUCAUUGGCUUUUGAGCACUUCAAGUCUAGAAGCAGCAGGAAGGAGGAGUGGGAGGAAAAGGGCCACUUAGAGACAGUAAUCCUUCCAGAUCCUUCCAGUGCUGGCCGCACUUGCUUGCUCAGAGGAAGAAGGAUAUCAAUAUGGACUCCUGCCCAGAGCCGUGAGUCGGGGACAAAGACUAGUCUGUGAAUCUGGGCUCCCUGAAGCAGCUGUUCUCGGGUGGGUAUGAUAGCUUUGGUCCAAGACAUUGACCCUGAGGUUUACAGGCGUCUAGAACAAGUCUUGAUAGUCCAACGACUAUCUUUCCAAAGCCGAUGGGAGCUGUGUGAUAUCAGGCAAGAUCAGGAGUAUCAAGGAUGAGACUGAAUGGAUUGUCUGUAGAAAUAGUCGUAUGGCCAGGAAAGCAAAGCCAGCAUCCAGGAGCACUGGGGCAGCCCAGAACAAGAGUGAGACUCUUUCCAUUGGGAGGAAGUGCUGCAGAAGUCUAUCUGCUUCCUGUUAUGAAGUUCGGAAAGAUGCAAUGGGGCCGGCAAGGAAUCCUCAGAGCCCUAGGGUUGGCUUUCUUGAAAAGUAGAAAACACUACAACCACAGGAACCCGAGCCAGGCAUGAAAGGACACUCACUAAACAUGGGAUGCUUUUCAAAGCUUAGGUUGUGAAGUGGAGCCAGCUCUGGAAGACAGACACCUGACCACACAGUGCUCUAAGCCUCUUCUGACAUCUCUACGUCCAGCGGUUGUCUGCUGAGCAUCAGGCAUGUAGAUUUUCAAGACUAAGGUAAUUGAAGUGAGAAGACCUCCGGAAGUGUGGGUGAUGUCAUUCUGUGAGAUGGAGGAAGUGAGCUGAGUGACAGCAUUCAUCUCUCCCUGCAGUGUGAACCUGCGGCCCCACACUCUGCCCACCAAGGCAACUGCAUCCUCAAACUGUGAGCUAAAGUGCCACCCUGGUGUCUUUGUUGGCCUGCAGUGAUGCUACAUUGUACCCAAUGACAAACCAACGACAAACUCAGAAGAAGCAAAAGCUUUCCCAGCAAUGAGCAGGCAGAAACUUCUGGAAAGCAAGAUGUGGUAGGACAUUAUAUAGAAUGAGGUAGUGUCCUGUGAGGACAUGUCCUGUGUGGUGUGCCAUGCAUGCAUGGUUUGGGGACUGUUAGAGGGACUCGUCAUUUAGCUUCAGGGUGUAUGUGUCAUGUAAGAUUCAGUAGAGAGGGUUUUAACUGGUAUGGUGUUUCCUCAAUACCUAGUUUCUAACAAAGGAUAUCACAGAGGGUGGGCGUUUCCAGCACUGGGGAGGGACAGUACAUGUUUUCCUGAAAGUCAGUCCUAUUGUCUCCACCCUGUCUUCUGUUCAUAGUGAAGAUGUAUGACAAACAACACAGACUUAAUUGCUUACAGCUUC